GUAUGUGUAUAUACUCUUCCUUAUCCAUUCAUCUGUUGAUGGACAUCUAGGUUCUUUCCAUAGUUUGGCUGUUGUGGACAUUGCUGCUAUAGACAUUCAGGUGCACGUGCCCCUUCAGAUCACUACAUUUGUAUCUUUGCGGUAAAUACCCAGUAGUGCGAUUGCUGGGUCAUAGGGUAGUUCUAUUUUCAACUUUCUGAGGAACCUUUAUACUGUUUUCCAGGGUGGCUGCAUCAGCUUGCUUUCCCACCAACAGUGUAGGAGGGCUCCCCUUUCUCCGCGUCCUUGACAACAUCUGUUGUUUCCUGACUGGUUAAUUUUAGCCAUUCUGACUGGUGUGAAGUGAUAUCUCAUUGUGGUUUUGAUUUGUAUUUCCCUGAUGCCAAGUGAUAUGGAGCACUUUUUCAUGUGUCUGUUGGCCAUCUGGAUGUCUUCUUUGCAGAAAUGUCUGUUCAUGUCCUCUGCCCAUUUCUUGAUUGGAUUAUUUGUUCUUUGGGUGUUGAGUUUGAUAAGCUCUUUAUAAAUUUUGGAUACUAGCCCUUUAUCUGAUAUGUUGUUUGCAAAUAUCUUCUCCCAUUCUGUCAGUUGCCUUUCGGUUUUAUUGACUGUUUCCUUUGCUGUGCAAAAGCUUUUGAUCUUGAUGGUCCCAAUAGUUCAUUUUUGCCCUUGCUUCCCUUGCCUUUGGCAAUGUCGAUUUCAUUCUUUUUUAUAGCAAAAUAAUAUUCCACUAUAUAUAUACACGACACCUUCUUUAUCCAUUCAUCUAUUGGUAGAUAUUUAGGUUGCUUCUGUACCUUGACUAUUGUAAAUAAUGUUGCAGUAAACAUAGGGUUGCAUACAUAUUUUUGGAUUAGUGUUUUUGUUUUCUUUGGAUGACUACCUAGAAAUAGAACUGGACCAUAUGGUAAUUGUAGUUUUAGUUUUUUGAGGACCCUCUAUCCUGUUUUCCAGAGUGGGUGCACCAAUUUAUAUUCCCAACAAUAGCACCAAAAAAAAAAAAAAAGAGGAAAAAAAGCUUUUCUUUAAACAAGGCAUUUCAGCUCCACUGAAGUACUAGAUAUUAGUUAAUAAAACUAAUACUACUUUAAGUCUUUUCCAUUCAAAACCAGUGUACUAUCCAUUAACCUACACUAAUAACUCAAAUUGUCACUAUAUGUUUGAAUAAUGUACCCUGUUAUUUGAAAAGGAAAAGGAAAAAAAAAUCACAAUCCAAAUUGAGGAUCCUGAGGGGAUGAGGUUUGAUGGUACCAUCUUCAUAUAUGUUAUAUAAUUCAUGCAUAGUUGAAAGGGAGCCAAAUGCAGAUCACUACGAAAAUCAGUUGCCUAACUGAAGACAGUAUCAGAGUAGCUUUGAUGAUGGGAGCAGUAAAAGAAUGUAUAGAUAGGACUAUAUCAAAAUCCUCUAUCACCAUAACCAUUUUCAUAAUGGACUAAAUGAGACUGUAAACAAUCCCUGUUUAGUAAUAUUUGAGGGUUCCCAAUCUUUUUACAAUCACUUAAAUCAUCACCAUGAUUAGAAGUUCAUGAUUAGGGCGCCUGGGUGGCUCAGUGGGUUAAGCCGCUGCCUUCAGCUCAGGUCAUGAUUUCAGGGUCCUGGGAUCAAGUCCUGCAUCGGGCUCCCUGCUCAGCAGGGAGCCUGCUUCCUCCUCUCUCUCUCUCUCUGCCUGCCUCUCUGCCUACUUGUGAUGUCUUUCUGUCAAAUAAAUAAAAUAAAAAAUAUUAAAAAAAAAAGAAGUUCAUGAUUAACCAAAAUUUUAAUAAAAAGAAUUCCCCUCCUUUCUCCAAAGCAAAAAGCAGGUUAGUUCCUAUAUCUACAAAAGAAGAAUCAUGUCAACACACUUCUCAAAAAAGCAGAGUAUGUCCUACAGGAUAUUUGUUAAUGUUUUAUUCAGGCUACUUUAAAAUGGCCAAUCUUACUUUUAGAAGACCCUUCCAAAAUCAACAAAAUAGGGUGCCUGGGUGGCUCAGUGGGUUAAGCAUCUGCCUUCAGCUCAGGUCAUGAUCCCAGGGUCCUGGGAUCAAGAUCAAGAGCCAAGUGGGGCUUCCUGCUCUGUGGGGAGUCUGCUUCUCCCUCUCCUUCUGCCUCUCCCCCUGCAUAUGCUCUCUCUCUCUCAAAUAAAUAAAUAAUCUUUUUUUUUAAUCAAAAAA